GACGUAGGGCGCGAGCGUUGUCCGGAUUUAUUGGGCGUAAAGGGCGCGUAGGCGGCCUGCUAAGUCGAACGUGAAAUCCCUGGGCUCAACCCAGGAACUGCGUCCGAUACUGGUUGGCUUGAAUCCGGGAGAGGGAUGUGGAAUUCCAGGUGUAGCGGUGAAAUGCGUAGAUAUCUGGAGGAACACCGGUGGCGAAGGCGGCGACCUGGGUAGAUACUGACGCUGAGGUGCGAAAGCGUGGGGAGCAAACAGG
rnacentral:rRNA from 1 species